GGCAUAGCUGGGUAGCUAUGUGUGGACGGGAUAAGUGCUGAAAGCAUCUAAGCAUGAAGCCCCCCUCAAGAUGAGAUUUCCCAACUUCGGUUAUAAGAUCCCUCAAAGAUGAUGAGGUUAAUAGGUUCGAGGUGGAAGCAUGGUGACAUGUGGAGCUGACGAAUACUAAUCGAUCGAAGACUUAAUCAAAA
rnacentral:rRNA from 1 species